rnacentral:rRNA from 1 species
UACGUAGGUGGCAAGCGUUGUCCGGAUUUACUGGGCGUAAAGGGCGUGCAGGCGGUCUGUUAAGUGCAGGGUGAAAGCUCCCGGCUCAACUGGGAGAGGUCCUUGCAUACUGGCGGACUUGAGGGGGGUAGAGGAAAGUGGAAUUCCCGGUGUAGUGGUGAUAUGCGUAGAUAUCGGGAGGAACACCUGUGGCGAAGGCGGCUUUCUGGGCUCUACCUGACGCUGAGACGCGAAAGCGUGGGGAGCGAACCGG